AGGCCCCCCAUUGUGAGGAUCCUGAAAAGACAAAAAGGUCUGAGUCCGUCUAAAGAUUCAAACAUAAGGUUACGUAGAAGAACUUGAAGAGGACAGAGUGACUUCGAAGGACACCUGCAUUCAAGGAUGAGGAGUGGGGAAACAUUAAGAUCAAAAACAUGAGUACAGCUAAAAGUAAUUUCUGAUGAAGAGAUUAACAGAGAAAGAACAAAAACUCAGAUGGAGUUACCAUGUGGACUGACGAAUUGGGGAUCACGUGCUACCUGAAUGCCACAGUGCAGUGUCUCCGCUCAUUGCCUGAGCUCAGAACCUCUCUCAAGGAGUGUGUGCGCUAAUAACUCCUAAUUACAGAAAUCAAGCAUUGCGUUAGUUCAGGCAGGCCACGCAGUAAGCUGCAUCAGCUGCUAAUCAGCUGUCCACAAGGCGCACCAAUCCAGCACGACUUCCGUAAUUUCCCUCCUUCAAAUCCUCGCCUUUGACACCCUCCUCCGUCCCCGACUCCUCCAGCCAGAACCUGUUGCCAGCGCCGAUUAAAAUCUUCACGUAUUCUGGUGUGUUGAGGUCCUCUGGAGAAAAUGUGCCAUCUCAGUACAUCACAGCAGACUAAAAUCAGUCAUCUCCCAGGGUACCUGACAAGAAGAGGGAGUCCUCAACACCAAAGUCCUCAAGAUCUGGCCUCCCAUAAUAGCAGUUACUACGACCUGCAGGGCUGUCCCGACGCAU